rnacentral:antisense_RNA from 2 species
UGUCAUGGCGGCUAUGCGUGGGAGACCUUCGGGUCUGCCGGGUUCCUAUUGUCCCGGUUUCUCAGCCCGCGCAUAGCUGCCACCCAU